AGCCAAGCACUCCACCACUGAGUUGCACCCCCAGCCCUUUUUAAUUUUUUUCAUUUGAAGACAGAGUCUCUCUUAAACUGCUGAGGCCUUGAACUUGUGAUCCUCCUGCCUCAACCUCCUGAGUAGCUGGGAUUCUAGGUAUGUGUCAUUGUGUCCAACAAAACCAUAUAAGGUUUUGAAACCUUAAAACACUAUCUUCAUAAUUUGAGCUAGGUAAAUUUUGCUUAGCACAUCACAGAAAGCAGUAACCAUAAAACAAAAAACAAACAAACAAACAACAACAAAAAAAAAACAUGAGAGUUCCUCAACCAAACCAAACCAACCAACCAAACAAAUAAACAAAAAAACAACUUAGCAAAAGUGAGGUGCCAAGCAAUUCAGUGAGAUCCUGUCUCUAAAUAAAAUACAAAAUUGGGCUGGGGAUGUGACUCAGUGGUGAGUGCCCCUGAGUUCAAUCCGUGGUACCCACCAUCCCAAAAUUAACAACUGAAAUGAUUAAAGGCUUAGAUGGUCCAUCUUGUAUCUGCUAAAGUUUUUUCAGUGCUUUUAGCCCCAAAUAGUCAAUAUACCACAGUGGCAUAUUAGAGUGACGCAUUCUUAACUCCUUCGAUCCAAUGCAAUGCUGCUCAGAGGGAAUGAACUGCUGGUAUAUGCAACAAUAUGAAGAAUCUCAAUGCUGGAUGGAAGAAGCCUCACACAAGGGAAACUCUUUGCUCUGUUGGGUGGUUUCACAUGGUGAGAAUCAAAGGCCCAACAAGAGCCAUGUGAGGGAGCCAUCUUGGAAGCAGAUCCUCCAGCAACCUUGGAGCCUUGAGAUUACAGUUCCAGCUGACAUCUUGCCUGCAUUUCAUGAGAGACCCUGAGCCCAAAGCAGCUAGCAACACUGCUCCCAAUUCCUGACCCUCAGAAACUGUGAGAGCAUCUAGAAUUGAUGGGCAAGUUCUUUACUAUAAAAGGAUUCAAACUCGGGAAGAACGAAAGAAUUAGAAAGUCACCAGUUCAUGAAGAAAUAGUCUGGGUUAUGGGUAAGCUUUAUAUUUUGAUCUAAGUGAUAGUUACAUGGUUG